AUCGCGGUGGUAAAAAUGGCUCUGCACGCCCGGGGCUGUACAGCCUCUUGCGGCUGUGGAGUGCUUCCAGAAGGGAAACCCCAGAGGGGUGGUGUAGUCUCCUUCUCGUCCAGACAUUCCAAACUGACCUGGAUGCUUCCUUCCUGUGUCACCCGCUCGAGGUGACCCUGCCCUGGCAGAGGGAUGAUCACCAGAGGUCCCUCACAAACCUAGUCUAAAAAUCUGUUUAUCUGGCAGAGAUAAACAAAAAAUAACAAAACCCAAAAAACAACAAACAAACAACAACAAAAAACAAAAAAAAAACCCGCAUUGAUGACAAAUAUGAAUUCCAGUGGUGUGUCUCCACAUAUACUCUAUGCAGAGGUUUGAAAGUGAUUGAAAAGAAGGGGUAAAAGGAUGGGUCUGGACAGUGAACCAUCAGCAGUGAAAUUUAAAAUGUGCAUUUCCCUACUGUUGAAGUGUACUGACCAGGUACAGUUUCCUUAUUGACAAAACAAACCAGGGAAUUUCCCAGCCCUGAUUCACAGUGCCCAGGCUGAUUUCACACCUUGGGAGUCCCCCAACCCCAUGCAAAUAAAAAUGUGGUACUUCUGUGGGUUUUUUUUUUCCUCCUUACCAAAUGAAAACAGUACAGUAAGACCAAAACAGGCAAGGGACAAUCUAUUAAUCUCUCACAGGAAUAAACAAAGUUGGAUUUUUGGUACUGACGGUGGUAAUUUAACAAAACAACCUUUCCCACUGAACAUAUAGGUUUUGGAUGGAUAACACUUACAGCCAUUGGUUCAGUAAAAACUUCUAAAAGUCAAAUCUUCAGGAUGGUAUUUUGGUAACCAAAUUAGUUUAAAUUUAAUCAUGCUACCACACUCUUAGUAGGUUAGAAAAUGACAGUGUUUCUGUACCAAAGAGACAACUUGUCACGUAUGGAAAGUGCUGAUAAGCUGUUGGCAUGAGCAGCCCCCUUUCUGAGGUCGCUGCUAGCCUUUCAGUAACAGCAGAUCAGUUUUUUCAACAGCACACAGAGAUUAAUCUGCAGUUUUCCUUGGGAGAGAAAGGUAUUUUCAGUGCAGAUGAAAGGAACAGAGUUCUGUGAGAGGGAUGACAUAAACAGCAGCGUUGUAUUAAUGAGGGCAUUCCUACAGUGAGAUAUGCCUGUGCCUCUCAGAUAUUUAGUGUUCUCUUGGAGAAAAAAUGCAGCUAGGUUAAGAGCACGUACAUUUGGUGCCACUGACCACUAGGAAUUUGCUGCUCCUCAGUAAAAAUAAUGUAUUUUCUAAAAGCCACUGUGACUGAGAGUAGGACUGGCUUUUAGGUUACCUGGUGAGUUUUUAUUUGGCUUUGGGGUCCCCGUCCCCACCCAUGUGUUCUUUUUCAAGAGGUUGAAUUAUUGCUGGAGUUAUUUAUAGGCCGGAGAAAAUGAGUCCUCUUGUUACACUGGGAUUAACACUGCUAAUCUCUGUCUUGGCAUCCUGGAGAGCACAGAGGUCUGCUCCUGGGCAUGGAGCUGGCAAAUAAGUGUGUCAGCAGUGUACACUGAGCUGCCCUUGUGAGUGUGUCAUGGCUGCAGGGCUGGCUGGUCUCCUGACAGGAAUCUCCAGGAGCCAUGCCACCGCUCCCUUACAGUGUUCCACAGCACAUUUUCCCUCAGGCUUAGCACCAAAUCAGUUUUUCCUGUGAGAUACCAGCAUGUCUUGGUGCUAAAGAGUGCCUUUUAUUUAAGUGUAGGUCAAGGAAGUUCAAUAAUAGAGAGGAUUUUGACAACUCACUUAAAAACACAGGCCUGACCCUCCAAGUGGGUAACUGAGUGGUAAUUUUAAAUAUAUGACUAGGCCCUCUCUAUUUUAUUUAAGUUCUCACUUGAGCAGAACAACAUUUCUAGAAGCCAUAUUAAUUUCCAGAAAGGAAGAGGUGUGAGUUGUCUUUCACUGAAGGUAUGAAACCCAAAGUAAACUUUGUUCUCCCUUACUGAGGUGAAACCUCUCCUUUGGUUCAGGCAGAGCAGGGAUGCUUUGGUCUCCUGCAUCUGCAAAGCGUGCAGCAAACCCCACCUAUUUAAUGCAGCACGUGUUUGGCAGUGUGACAAACAGAUCAGAAGUGUGUUUCCACUGCUUAAAAAGCAAACAAAACAAAUUUUAAUACCUUGAAAGUACAAGCAGUUGCUUUCUGGUUGACGUAAAACAGUGGAUGAUCUGAUGGAAACUCUGGUGAAAAAUAACAGAAAAUCAGAAAUACAAAACCUGAAGUUAGGAGAGAUAAGCUACAAAGGUUGAGAAAAUGGGGAAUCAUAAUGUAGAGGCUGCACCAAGGCCAAAAUACCAGUGAUCAUUUGAGGGGGGCAUGAUGGCCUAUGCAGUGUUCUUUUUUCUUAAACCUUCAACUUGAUGAAUUGUGAAAUGAUAGGAGAUACUAAGCUAUCAUUAAAAAAAACUGAAACAAAACAAUAUGACAGUGGAGCCAAUACUGAACUUGUAGUUCAUGAAAACAGAGUCCCAGUCACCUGCUGUGUAUGUCUCCACCACAGUACUGGAACCUUUUGCUUCUUCCUUCCUUUUAUUGCUUGGGGUGUGAAAUGUAGAUACGUUCCUCCUUUUUAACUAGUUGUGUAAUGGCAGAUCUAUGUGGCACAUAAAUGAUCCACUUCCUGGCUCUGUUCAGCACACAGCACACAGCUAUCACUGUGUGAUAACACUAUGUGAAGGUUCUGUCCCAGUUGGUGUCACAGGAGCAGGUCUAGAGGGGUUUUUAAUGCAGCAGUAGCUGUGUUCUCCGUGUCCAGACUGCGAGAGCCAGAGCUUGUGCCAGAGGGCCUACCCAUAACUUUAUUUCCCAGCGCUGGAAAUCUCGGUGCCGGCUGCCUCGGGUGGCCUUGAGCCUCAGAACUCAGACAGGUGUCCUGUCCGUGGGAGCAGAGUAAGGCAGCUUUGAGCAGACUGGCUCACAUCCUUGUGGGAGGAACUUGGUCAUCUAUAAAGUCUGUGCUAGCUGUUUAGCUAGACCACUGUAAAACCUUUAAAGAUUUAUGGAGGAAAGCUCUAGCUGAGAACACUGCUUAAACAUGAAACACCAGGUAUUUCACGUGCACUUGGAGUGUGAAACGUGACGGGACUCUCAGGGAGGAGAUGCAGGUGCUCUUCUGCCUCUGCAGGCAACCUGCAGAGGUGUGAGACUGUUGGGUCAGUGAUCCAGCUGAAAAAAUACUGUAUGCAUCAAUUUACUUCGCUACCAUGAAAUCUGCAAAUAUAAAGAAGGGUCAUGUUGUUUUAGUAGGAGCAAAUGGUCUUCCUUUUCUUGCCAUGGGAACAGAAUCUCUGAAGGCAGUUUGCUCUCAGAAUCGUCUGCUUUUUGAGAGCAAUAGGAUGUGAUUUGUUCCAAGGCAAAGUGUUUUCUGAAGAGGCUGUUACAUGCUUUCCAGAUGGGCUCUGCAUUAUCUGUCCAUACUGUUGGGGUACACUUACACAGCGCUGCCAGCAGCAGGAAGUUGCUAAUGUGCUCGCUCGCGUGGUUGAAAAUGCCUUAAGGUUGUCCUGGUGCACGCUGACAUGUCUUACACCACUGUCUAGACGUGGCCAACAUUACUCUCAGCCGAGAUCGACACAGUCACGGAGACAGAGGAGGUGAGCAGAGCAGUUCCCCGCUGGGGAGCACAGCCACCUGUCAGUGGCUGAGCUUGCUGUCCUUCUUCUCGGCUCCCGUCUACCCGGCGAAGCAGCCACGCUGACGUGGUGCGGUGGGCACACGGCCCAGGCUUUGAUCACAGAUCUGCACGUCAGAGCAGGCUGCAAACCUGGCUCAGCUCCCUUCAGGUGCACACAAAGGUACUCCGUUUGUUGAGGUGUGUGUAUAAACACCCAGGGAAAAGUUACAUUUCUUACCUAGAAGGGUAACUAACGACCAGAGCUGAAACUGAUCCUGCCGAGCAGACAGCAUCAUGUGCUCAGACUCGGGCUAUAAAUCUCUGAGCAGCAUAUGUUGCACUCAUGUUACUGAGACACAGCACGGCCUGCCCUGCUGCUCAUUCACUGGGUGACGCUUGAAAAAAAUCCCUCUGACUGUCUCUUAAUAAAAUGAAAGCAAUAUGUGUCUCUGGAGUCCCAUUUACUGACUUCAGUGGGAGUUGUGCUUGACAAAACAUUGAAUAAGUGUAGGCUUCACCCCUGUAUCAGCCUGUAUUAGAUGACUUGGUGUUACUCUGAGUCAGCAGCUGCUCAAAACCCUCUUUUGAAACCUUGGAGUUUCCCUUUAAGACCCGAUGAGAUCAGUAUCAUUCAGCAGCUCAUUUUACUUCCUCAGCAUUUUCUCACUUCCGCAUUGUACAUGCUGGCAGUCGUGAUCAGAUUGUUUCAAAAUAGCCCUGAAUGCAGGAGAUUUCUGAGCACCCAGCCUGAUCUCACAGCAGCAGUGAGCCAGCAAAUCACUGCUGUGUCAGCUGUUUCUCUGGAUCGGUGUUAGGGUCCUGGGGGGCAAAAGAUGGUCCAGACUCUUUUGCAGAAAGUGUAACACAACAUUCUGCAAAUUGUUGAAUUCUGUUACUUUUUGUGACAAGACAGUGUGCUCUGGAGAGGAUGGAAUUGCAUUAGCCAAACUCUGUCAGUGUCACCAUCUAAAACCUAGAGAAGCUCUCACUGACCAUGAAAUUACACCACCAGUGUAGGGAGCAUACACUGUAAAAACCCCAAAUCAAUCUAAGAAAGCUUCCCAUGCAAUGAUAGGUUUUUGCUUUUCACCAUGCCCCCUCUCACCAGUGAAGUAGUAGUAGAUGUUUGUCUGUCACAUAAAAUUGCAGUUUCACGUGUGCCAGAGCAUGAAGUGCAAGAGCUCAGUUCUUUCCUCCUGCAGUUCUGCUCUCAAUUUCAGAAGAGUUGUGCCUGCUUUACACCAGUCCAAAGAGAAGGGAAUCAGACAUUCCAUCUUCAGGGCUUUUGUUUCAAAGAUAAAUGACUCUGUU